UCAAGACUAAGGUUUCCUGAACAACGCUAAUCGUAUCAGGGUUAGUCGGGACCUAAGGAUAAGGCGAGAGCCGAUUUCGAUGGCAAACAGGUUAUAUUCCUGUACCGGCUGUUACUGCGAUGGGGCGACGGAGCGGCGUAAGUGCUGCGCAGUUACGGAAUACUGCGUUGAAGACAGGUAGGCGUUGAUAGGGGUAGGCAAAUCCGCCCUUUGAGCUGAUCGUCGAUAGUACCGUGUAGCAUGUUGUUACACGGAUAAUGCACCCAAGCGAACUUCCAAGAAAACCCUCUAAGCAUCAGGUAACAGGCGCUCGUACCGUAAACCGACACAGGUAGUCGAGGAGAAUAUCCUAAGGUGCUCGAGUGAUUCAUGGCUAAGGAACUCGGCAAAUUGAUCUCGUAACUUCGGGAUAAGAGAUGCCUACUUCUAUGAUUUAUUAUAGGAGAGGCCGCAGAGCAUAGGCCCAGGCGACUGUUUAGCAAAAACACAGGACUCUGCAAAUUCGAGAGAAUACGUAUAGGGUCUGACACCUGCCCGGUGCCGGAAGGUUAAGGAAGGAGGUUAGUCGCAAGGCGAAGCUUUUGACUGAAGCCCCGGUAAACGGCGGCCGUAACAAUAACGGUCCUAAGGUAGCGAAAUUCCUUGUCGGGUAAGUUCCGACCUGCACGAAUGGUGUAACGAUCUGGGCACUGUCUCGGCCAUGAGCUCGGUGAAAUUGUAGCAUCGGUGAAGAUGCCGAUUACCCGCAACGGGACGGAAAGACCCCGUGAACCUUCACUAUAGCUUUGCAUUGUAAUUGAGUCAAUAAUGUGUAGGAUAGGUGGGAGGCUUUGAAGCAGGUACGCUAGUAUUUGUGGAGCCGUUGUUGAAAUACCACCCUUUGUUUAUUUAGUUACUAACUCUGAUGGAGGACAGUGCAUGGUGGGUAGUUUGACUGGGGCGGUCGCCUCCUAAAAAGUAACGGAGGCUCCCAAAGGUACCCUCAAAACGGUUGGUAAUCGUUUGUAGCGUGUGUUAGCAUAAGGGUGCUUGACUGCGAGACAGACAAGUCGAGCAGGUACGAAAGUAGGGUAAAGUGAUCCGGUGGUUCCGCAUGGAAGGGCCAUCGCUCAAAGGAUAAAAGGUACUCCGGGGAUAACAGGCUGAUCUCCCCCAAGAGCUCAUAUCGACGGGGAGGUUUGGCACCUCGAUGUCGGCUCGUCGCAUCCUGGGGCUGGAGAAGGUCCUAAGGGUUGGGCUGUUCGCCCAUUAAAGCGGCACGCGAGCUGGGUUCAGAACGUCGCAAGACAGUUCGGUCCCUAUCUGUUGCGGGCGUUAGAAAUUUGAGGAGAGCUGACAUUAGUACGAGAGGACCGUGUCGGACGAACCUCCAGUGUACCGGUUAUGUCGCCAGAUGUACCGCCGGGUAGCUGUGUUCGGAACGGAUAAGCGCUGAAAGCAUCUAAGCGCGAAGCCAACUCCAAGAUGAGAUUUCUGAUUAAGGGUCGUGGGAGAUGACCACGUUGAUAGGCGGU
rnacentral:rRNA from 1 species